rnacentral:rRNA from 1 species
AGCACAGAGAGCUUGCUCUCGGGUGACGAGCGGCGGACGGGUGAGUAAUGUCUGGGAAACUGCCUGAUGGAGGGGGAUAACUACUGGAAACGGUAGCUAAUACCGCAUAAUGUCGCAAGACCAAAGUGGGGGACCUUCGGGCCUCAUGCCAUCAGAUGUGCCCAGAUGGGAUUAGCUAGUAGGUGGGGUAACGGCUCACCUAGGCGACGAUCCCUAGCUGGUCUGAGAGGAUGACCAGCCACACUGGAACUGAGACACGGUCCAGACUCCUACGGGAGGCAGCAGUGGGGAAUAUUGCACAAUGGGCGCAAGCCUGAUGCAGCCAUGCCGCGUGUGUGAAGAAGGCCUUCGGGUUGUAAAGCACUUUCAGCGGGGAGGAAGGCGGUGAGGUUAAUAACCUCAUCGAUUGACGUUACCCGCAGAAGAAGCACCGGCUAACUCCGUGCCAGCAGCCGCGGUAAUACGGAGGGUGCAAGCGUUAAUCGGAAUUACUGGGCGUAAAGCGCACGCAGGCGGUCUGUCAAGUCGGAUGUG